AAAUAUAUGAAGAACUCAAAAAAUUUAGACCCUCCUGAAACAAAAGACCCAGUUGAAAAAUGGAAACUCCAAUGAAUAGACAUUUCUGAGAAGAAGAAAUACAAAUGACCAAUAACUACAUGGAAAGAUGUUCAGUGUCUCUGGCCACUAGAGAAAGGGCCGGUCUUUGUUGGAUACGUCUAUGGGAGCUGCCACUGCCUCUCGUCCUUUGUCCAGUCCUCUCCUUAUUCAGAAAGCACCAGCCUAGGCUCCAUGACUGAUCUUGUCCUCCAAAGUUGCUUCCUGCCUGAAACGGUUUAAGAACAUAGGCUGCUGCAAUUUAGCCGUCCCUUGAGGAGAGGAGCACAAAUCAAGAAGGCUUACAAAAGUGUUGUUCCAUUUUGAUUGUUCAGGUUUCUUCUCCUUUGUGAGCUGUGACCAUCAACUCAUCUGUAGCAGCUUGUGGAAAAGUAACUACUUGCACUUCCGUUGAAAAGUUUUCCCCCAUAAUUCAGGGUAAGUAAUAUGUCCCAUAGAUGGAAAAAUAAGAAUAGAAACUGAUUUGUACACCUCAAAUCUUAAAAUAAGAAUAUACAUCGAUUUAUUUGUAAAUCAUGUUAAAUAUCCAAACUUCAAAAUAUCCAAACUUCAUCAAGGCAGUGACUUUCAUUUGUUGUAGCAAUUCCAUUUAGAGAGUUCCUUAGGAACUAGCUUAGGAGUUUUUGCCACUGUAGACUAUUUCCUUUAAUAUUUUAUCAUUUAACUCUCAUGGGACUCCUCUCAUUUUAAAAGCUACUUUAUUUUAUUUAACUAAUUUACUUAUUUAUUCGUUUUGUGGUG